rnacentral:rRNA from 1 species
CCUACGGGUGGCAGCAGUGAGGAAUAUUGGUCAAUGGGAGAGAUCCUGAACCAGCCAAGCCGCGUGAGGGAAGACGGCCCUAUGGGUUGUAAACCUCUUUUGUCGGAGAACAAAACCCGGGACGUGUCCCGGACUGCGUGUAUCCGAAGAAAAAGCAUCGGCUAACUCCGUGCCAGCAGCCGCGGUAAUACGGAGGAUGCGAGCGUUAUCCGGAUUUAUUGGGUUUAAAGGGUGCGUAGGCGGUCCGUUAAGUCAGCGGUAAAAUUGCGGGGCUCAACCCCGUCGAGCCGUUGAAACUGGCAGACUUGAGUUGGCGAGAAGUACGCGGAAUGCGCGGUGUAGCGGUGAAAUGCAUAGAUAUCGCGCAGAACUCCGAUUGCGAAGGCAGCUUACUAAACUGCCACUGACAUUGAUGCUCGAAAGUGUGGGUAUCAAACAGGAUUAGAUACCCCAGUAGUC